UGCGCAGGCGGAAUGAUUAGUCAGUGGUGAAAUCCUACAGCUCAACUGUAGAACUGCCAUUGAUACUGUCAUUCUUGAGUACAGUGGAAGUGGGCGGAAUGUAUCAUGUAGCGGUGAAAUGCAUAGAUAUGAUACAGAACACCGAUAGCGAAAGCAGCUCACUAUACUGUAACUGACGCUCAGGCACGAAAGCGUGGGGAGCGAACAGGAUUAGAUACCCUGGUAGUCC
rnacentral:rRNA from 1 species